CAAAUGGAAAUGCAAUUUUAAUUUAAAGUGCCCCUUUUAUGCCAUUUUUAAGGCUAUUAAUUUUGAUUUGAAGGUCUCCUACAAUAUUGCAGCAUCACCCUUUAUCGCACAGUCUCUGAAAUGGUUCAAUGAAGGAUUUGGUUUCUUGAAACCUCUCCUUUCCAAGAGCCUACUCUCCUCUAAUUGGUCAGAUGGCCCAGUUUGUUUUGAUUGUUCUACCAGGAAUGGCCAAAAUGACUUGUAUACACAGCGUAAUUUGCGUGGGACAUGUCCCCACCACUUUUUGAAACAUCUCUCGGCACGGAUGUAAGCUACCUAAUAUAAAAGAAUCUCCAGUUGAUUAGCAAUUUGUUUGUUUGUGUUAAAUAAGA